rnacentral:rRNA from 1 species
AUUGAACGCUGGCGGCAGGCCUAACACAUGCAAGUCGAGCGGAUGAAGGGAGCUUGCUCCUGGAUUCAGCGGCGGACGGGUGAGUAAUGCCUAGGAAUCUGCCUGGCAGUGGGGGCUAACGUCCGGACACGGGCGCUAAUAUCGUAUACGUUCUGAUGGUGAAAGUGGGGGAUCUUCGGACCUCACGCUAUUAGAUGAGCCUAGGUCGGAUUAGCUAGUUGGUGAGGUAAAGGCCUACCAAGGCGACGAACCGUAACUGGUCUGAGAGGAUGAUCAGUCACACUGGAACUGAGACACGGUCCAGACUCCUACGGGAGGCAGCAGUGGGGAAUAUUGGACAAUGGGCGAAAGCCUGAUCCAGCCAUGCCGCGUGUGUGAAGAAGGUCUUCGGAUUGUAAAGCACUUUAAGUUGGGAGGAAGGGCAGUAAGUUAAUACCUUGCUGUUUUGACGUUACCAACAGAAAAAGCACCGGCUAACUUCGUG